rnacentral:rRNA from 1 species
ACUAAGCGUACACGGUGGAUGCCCUGGCAGUCAGAGGCGAUGAAGGACGUGCUAAUCUGCGAUAAGCGUCGGUGAGGUGAUAUGAACCGUUAUAACCGGCGAUUUCCGAAUGGGGAAACCCAGUGUGUUUCGACACACUAUCAUUAACUGAAUCCAUAGGUUAAUGAGGCGAACCGGGGGAACUGAAACAUCUAAGUACCCCGAGGAAAAGAAAUCAACCGAGAUUCCCCCAGUAGCGGCGAGCGAACGGGGAGGAGCCCAGAGCCUGAAUCAGUGUGUGUGUUAGUGGAAGCGUCUGGAAAGGCGUGCGAUACAGGGUGACAGCCCCGUACACAAAAAUGCACAUAUUGUGAGCUCGAUGAGUAGGGCGGGACACGUGGUAUCCUGUCUGAAUAUGGGGGGACCAUCCUCCAAGGCUAAAUACUCCUGACUGACCGAUAGUGAACCAGUACCGUGAGGGAAAGGCGAAAAGAACCCCGGCGAGGGGAGUGAAAAAGAACCUGAAACCGUGUACGUACAAGCAGUGGGAGCCUCUUAAUGGGGUGACUGCGUACCUUUUGUAUAAUGGGUCAGCGACUUAUAUUCUGUAGCAAGGUUAACCGAAUAGGGGAGCCGAAGGGAAACCGAGUCUUAACUGGGCGUUAAGUUGCAGGGUAUAGACCCGAAACCCGGUGAUCUAGCCAUGGGCAGGUUGAAGGUUGGGUAACACUAACUGGAGGACCGAACCGACUAAUGUUGAAAAAUUAGCGGAUGACUUGUGGCUGGGGGUGAAAGGCCAAUCAAACCGGGAGAUAGCUGGUUCUCCCCGAAAGCUAUUUAGGUAGCGCCUCGUGAAUUCAUCUCCGGGGGUAGAGCACUGUUUCGGCAAGGGGGUCAUCCCGACUUACCAACCCGAUGCAAACUGCGAAUACCGGAGAAUGUUAUCACGGGAGACACACGGCGGGUGCUAACGUCCGUCGUGAAGAGGGAAACAACCCAGACCGCCAGCUAAGGUCCCAAAGUCAUGGUUAAGUGGGAAACGAUGUGGGAAGGCCCAGACAGCCAGGAUGUUGGCUUAGAAGCAGCCAUCAUUUAAAGAAAGCGUAAUAGCUCACUGGUCGAGUCGGCCUGCGCGGAAGAUGUAACGGGGCUAAACCAUGCACCGAAGCUGCGGCAGCGACACUAUGUGUUGUUGGGUAGGGGAGCGUUCUGUAAGCCUGUGAAGGUGGCCUGUGAGGGUUGCUGGAGGUAUCAGAAGUGCGAAUGCUGACAUAAGUAACGAUAAAGCGGGUGAAAAGCCCGCUCGCCGGAAGACCAAGGGUUCCUGUCCAACGUUAAUCGGGGCAGGGUGAGUCGACCCCUAAGGCGAGGCCGAAAGGCGUAGUCGAUGGGAAACAGGUUAAUAUUCCUGUACUUGGUGUUACUGCGAAGGGGGGACGGAGAAGGCUAUGUUGGCCGGGCGACGGUUGUCCCGGUUUAAGCGUGUAGGCUGGUUUUCCAGGCAAAUCCGGAAAACCAAGGCUGAGGCGUGAUGACGAAGCACUACGGUGCUGAAGCGACAAAUGCCCUGCUUCCAGGAAAAGCCUCUAAGCAUCAGGUAACAUCAAAUCGUACCCCAAACCGACACAGGUGGUCAGGUAGAGAAUACCAAGGCGCUUGAGAGAACUCGGGUGAAGGAACUAGGCAAAAUGGUGCCGUAACUUCGGGAGAAGGCACGCUGAUAUGUAGGUGAAGCGACUUGCUCGUGGAGCUGAAAUCAGUCGAAGAUACCAGCUGGCUGCAACUGUUUAUUAAAAACACAGCACUGUGCAAACACGAAAGUGGACGUAUACGGUGUGACGCCUGCCCGGUGCCGGAAGGUUAAUUGAUGGGGUUAGCGGCAACGCGAAGCUCUUGAUCGAAGCCCCGGUAAACGGCGGCCGUAACUAUAACGGUCCUAAGGUAGCGAAAUUCCUUGUCGGGUAAGUUCCGACCUGCACGAAUGGCGUAAUGAUGGCCAGGCUGUCUCCACCCGAGACUCAGUGAAAUUGAACUCGCUGUGAAGAUGCAGUGUACCCGCGGCAAGACGGAAAGACCCCGUGAACCUUUACUAUAGCUUGACACUGAACAUUGAGCCUUGAUGUGUAGGAUAGGUGGGAGGCUUUGAAGUGUGGACGCCAGUCUGCAUGGAGCCGACCUUGAAAUACCACCCUUUAAUGUUUGAUGUUCUAACGUUGGCCCGUAAUCCGGGUUGCGGACAGUGUCUGGUGGGUAGUUUGACUGGGGCGGUCUCCUCCUAAAGAGUAACGGAGGAGCACGAAGGUUGGCUAAUCCUGGUCGGACAUCAGGAGGUUAGUGCAAUGGCAUAAGCCAGCUUGACUGCGAGCGUGACGGCGCGAGCAGGUGCGAAAGCAGGUCAUAGUGAUCCGGUGGUUCUGAAUGGAAGGGCCAUCGCUCAACGGAUAAAAGGUACUCCGGGGAUAACAGGCUGAUACCGCCCAAGAGUUCAUAUCGACGGCGGUGUUUGGCACCUCGAUGUCGGCUCAUCACAUCCUGGGGCUGAAGUAGGUCCCAAGGGUAUGGCUGUUCGCCAUUUAAAGUGGUACGCGAGCUGGGUUUAGAACGUCGUGAGACAGUUCGGUCCCUAUCUGCCGUGGGCGCUGGAGAACUGAGGGGGGCUGCUCCUAGUACGAGAGGACCGGAGUGGACGCAUCACUGGUGUUCGGGUUGUCAUGCCAAUGGCACUGCCCGGUAGCUAAAUGCGGAAGAGAUAAGUGCUGAAAGCAUCUAAGCACGAAACUUGCCCCGAGAUGAGUUCUCCCUGAGACUUAGAGUCUCCUGAAGGAACGUUGAAGACGACGACGUUGAUAGGCCGGGUGUGUAAGCGCAGCGAUGCGUUGAGCUAACCGGUACUAAUGAACCGUGAGGCUUAACC